AUGUUGCAAAUUAAAUAUGUGGACUUGUUCAUUGCCCGUAAUUUCUUGCUACCACUCAGUGGGCAAGAGGCCAUCCUAAGCGGGAGGGGACCAGCGCGGGACCGAAAGACCCAGCGCGUCCACCGCGCCGGCGAGGCCCGCAAGGUCCUGCGGGAGCCCGGCACGUCUUUCCGCAGUACGCGGUGUGCUUCAGGGGACUUGGAUCCGGAAACGAGGAGUCUGCGUGGUCCCCGGGGACGGAAGGCCCGGGCUUCUGUAAGGUACGCAACGUCGGGCGCGCGGGCGGGCGGGGGACAGACAGCUGGGGCGACCCCUCACUUCGUCCGUCGCUGUCUCAGGCGCUGGGGGCCGCUCUCGCCCCGCCUCGGCCCCGCCCCCGCUCCGGCCCCGCCCCGCGCCCCCCUCCCUCGGCGCCGCCACGUCAGCCUUGAGCGCGCGCGCCGUGAUGGGGAAGAAGGUGGCGGCGGAGGUGGGCCUGCGGCUCGCGCUGUUCGCGGUCUUCAUGGUAACAGAGCUGCUCCCGCCCUUCCAGAGGCUCAUCCAGCCCGAGGAGAUGUGGCUCUACCGGAAUCCGUCGUCGCCUUGCUGGCCCCGCUGGCCCCGGUCCUCCUAGCCAGGUGUCUGAAGAAGGCGGACGCAGUGGACAGCCGGCAGGCCUGCCUGGCUGCCAGCCUGGCCCUGGCUCUGAACGGCGUCUUCACCAACACAGUCAAACUGAUAGUGGGGAGGCCACGCCCAGACUUCUUCUACCGUUGCUUCCCCGACGGGCAAGCCCAUCAUGACUUGACGUGCACAGGAAAUGAGGACGUGGUGAAUGAGGGCCGCAAGAGCUUCCCCAGUGGACAUUCUUCCUUUGCAUUUGCUGGUCUGGCCUUCGCGUCCUUCUACCUGGCAGGGAAGUUACACUGCUUCACACCACGAGGCCGAGGGGAAUCUUGGAGGUUCUGUUCCUUUCUGUCACCCCUACUCUUUGCAGCUGUGAUUGCACUGUCCCGCACCUGUGACUACAAGCAUCACUGGCAAGAUGUCCUGGCUGGAUCCACCAUCGGCCUGACGUUCGCCUAUGUCUGCUAUAGGCAGUACUACCCUCCCCUGACGGACGCCCAGUGCCACAGACCACUGCAGCGCAGCCCUGCUCUUCCCACCGCGCAAAAGCAGCCUGGCGACCCUCGUCAUUUUGAUGUUUAGACACUGGAGCUGCCUUCCUGGAAAACAGGACUGAAGAUCUGCCCAAAUGCACCAGCUGUGCCAAGCAGCCAAGGCAGGGCAGGGUAGUCAGAGACCGGCUGUCUGGAGGGCAGGGCUUUGGAUACCAUGAUAUAUUUACUUACAAGAAACCGAUAUAAAAAGCGAAACACAGCUUGCCUGUCUACACCGCUCUGUCCACCAGGGCCUGUAGGAACCUGAGAGGAGUGUGAAGGACUGUCACAAAGAGAACUGCAAAGACAAUCACAAACUGAGACCUGUGAGAAAGAAAAUACCUACAGCACAGUGGUGAGCAAGAUGCCUUGGAAACUAUUAGUCUCCAUUCACUUGUCUUCUUCAAGGUGCAUCUCACUUGCACGCUCUGACACUGACUCUGCACCAGCUGUUCCUGGCCCCAUAGACGCAGGUUUGUCUUUCAGAAUAAGGAACACUUCCCCCUAGCCAGAUCUACCAACACUGCCUGUGCCGGGAGCCUGUUCCAUAGCGACCUGCACUACGGGUACCUAAGGAGGCAACGCUGUUUGUGUGCUUGAAGAGGACACUCUUCAAUACUCCCUUCACCCAAGCAGCUGUGGCAGAUGGCUUACACAAAUUCUAUUUCACCAUCAAUGCACCACUGAAACAUUUUAUUCAUCACUUAAUAAGCAGUCAAAGCUGUGUAAUUUCAGGUCUGUCCGCUCUUAUAACCCUCAAGAACUAACAACUAAGUCGGACUUUGUCUAGAGUCUCCCAGUUUGAAGUAUGAUAUGAUAUAAAAGGGCAGGUCUAGCAUAUAUAACAUCUUUGCUUUAUAAAGAUGCACCUGAUGUGAACUAAACUGUCCACUUUAGACUGUCCUCUGAGAGCAGCUCAAACAGCUGUGGAAACAAUGAACAGCGUCAGUGAUUCCUAGCAAUAAAUCUGUCAGUCAGCUGUAGAGAGAGUAAACAGUAUUUACAGAUUUUAGUCUUUCUUCAUACAGUACGUGUAGGAAAUAAAAGCUGGCUCAAGAGAAUCUGAUGGCCACCAGUCUCCCUCAUUCACUUAGACUUGGCCUUCAAAUGCAGAGAACACCCAUGAGCGAUGAGCAGACCCCAAAAUGCCUUCUGAAUCUCAGGAGUCCACUUCCAGAUUAGAAUAUUUUCUAAAGAUAAGCAAUAAUUUCUUAGAAAAAUUUAUACC